rnacentral:rRNA from 1 species
AGCAGCCGCGGUAAUUCCAGCUCCAAUAGCGUAUAUUAAAGUUGUUGCAGUUAAAAAGCUCGUAGUUGAAUUUCGAGACCGGUUUAUUGGUCGUGCUUUUGUACGUACUGGUAUUAUUGGUUUCUCCUUUCUGACGAAUCUUAAUGCCAUUAAUUUGGUGUUUUGGGGAAUCAGGACUGUUACUUUGAAAAAAUUAGAGUGUUUAAAGCAGGCUCACGCUUGAAUACAUUAGCAUGGAAUAACGGAAUAGGACGUUUGAUUCUAUUUUGUUGGUUUCUAGGAUCGACGUAAUGAUUAAUAGGGAUAGUUGGGGGCAUUAGUAUUCAAUUGUCAGAGGUGAAAUUCUUGGAUUUAUUGAAGACUAACUACUGCGUAAGCAUUUGCCAAGGAUGUUUUCAUUAAUCAAGAACGAAAGUUAGGGGAUCGAAGACGAUCAGAUACCGUCGUAGUCUUAACCAUAAACUAUGCCGACUAGGGAUCGGAUGAUGUAAUUUUUAAUGACUCAUUCGGCGCCUUACGG